AGAGGUUCCAAGUCUCCGAGAAGAGAUAUCCGUAAUCUGACUUCAUAUCCUGCUCCUAGAGGUUCCAAGACUCCGGGAAGAGAUAUUGGUAAUCUGACUUCAUAUCCUGCUCCUAGGUAAUUAUAUAACAUUAUUUUUAAAAUUAGAACCAGCCACCAUCUAUAAAAGGGAGAAAAAUGCCUAAAAAGGGUGAUUUGUCA